rnacentral:misc_RNA from 1 species
CGAGGUGUUCGCGCAGAUGACGAAGCUCCCCGCCCGGGCGAAGACGGGACUCGUCCGAAGCAUCGAGCGCAAGUACGGACGCGACAUCUGGACUCACUUCGCCGUCGAUCGCGCAGCUGCAGAGAUAGGGAUCCCCGCACUCAUCAUUCACGACCGCGAUGACGAGCAGAUCGCGUUCGCCGAUGGAGUGCAGCUCGCUCAGAGCUGGCCCGGCUCCCGUUUCGUCGAAACGAGAGGCCUAGGCCACGUGAAGCUGAUGGGCGACCGGCGUGUGAUCGACGAGAUCGCCGCGCAUCUCGACCGUCGAGUGGGUGCUAUUCCACGAAAUAGCGGGUCUGGCACCCACUCAACUGAGGGGU